UCCUUGGGCGAGGCAGGCGGCAGCACCGCUGAGCUAAAUCCCGGUCCCUGUUCGUCUCUUUUAAACUUAUUGCAGAAGAUAAACUCUGAAUCCUAUCAUCUGCAUAACCAAAGUCUGUGAAGCUGUGCUCACAUGCAAGGUGAAAAUGACUCAUACUAAGGACUCAUAAUCAAGCAUCAAACCCAAGGACUCUCAGAUACAAAGCAAGCAUUCACACCUCUAUUCCCAGGACUUGACUGUUGAUAUUGUCAACCUUUCCUCCUAUUCUAAUCUCCAGUUACACCAGUCUCCAGACUUUUUUGACUUUAGCAUGACUUACUUUUAC
rnacentral:lncRNA from 1 species